rnacentral:rRNA from 1 species
AUUGAACGCUGGCGGCAUGCUUUACACAUGCAAGUCGAACGGUAACAGGCCUUCGGGUGCUGACGAGUGGCGAACGGGUGAGUAAUGCAUCGGAACGUGCCCAGAGGUGGGGGAUAACGCAGCGAAAGCUGUGCUAAUACCGCAUGUGAUCUGAGGAUGAAAGCGGGGGACCAAGCAGCAAUGUUUGGCCUCGCGCCUCUGGAGCGGCCGAUGUCAGAUUAGGUAGUUGGUGGGGUAAAGGCCUACCAAGCCGACGAUCUGUAGCUGGUCUGAGAGGACGACCAGCCACACUGGGACUGAGACACGGCCCAGACUCCUACGGGAGGCAGCAGUGGGGAAUUUUGGACAAUGGGCGCAAGCCUGAUCCAGCGAUGCCGCGUGCGGGAAGAAGGCCUUCGGGUUGUAAACCGCUUUUGUACGGAACGAAAAGGCUCUGGCUAAUACCUGGGGCUGAUGACGGUACCGUAAGAAUAAGCACCGGCUAACUACGUG